rnacentral:tRNA from 1 species
GCGGGAAUAGCUCAGUUGGUAGAGCGCCAGUUUCCCAAACUGGAGGCCGCGGGUUCGAGCCCCGUUCCCCGCU